rnacentral:rRNA from 1 species
GAUGAACGCUAGCGGGAGGCCUAACACAUGCAAGCCGAGCGGGAUUUGUUGGUUAGCUUGCUAACUAACAAUGAGAGCGGCGUACGGGUGCGUAGCACGUGUGCAACCUGCCUUUAUCUGGGGGAUAGCCAUUCGAAAGGAAGAUUAAUACCCCAUAACAUAUUGAUUGGCAUCAGUUAAUAUUGAAAGCUCCGGCGGAUAGAGAUGGGCACGCGUAAGAUUAGCUAGUUGGUGAGGUAACGGCUCACCAAGGCUGCGAUCUUUAGGGGGCCUGAGAGGGGGAUCCCCCAGACUGGUACUGCGACACGGACCAGACUGCUACGGGAGGCAGCAGUGAGGAAUAUUGGACAAUGGGUGAGAGCCUGAUCCAGCCAUCCCGCGUGAAGGACUAAGGACCUAUGGUUUGUAAACUUCUUUUAUACAGGGAUAAACCUACUCUCGUGAGGGUAGCUGAAGGUACUGUAUGAAUAAGCACCGGCUAACUCCGUG